GACGAACGCUGGCGGCGUGCUUAACACAUGCAAGUCGAACGGAAAGGCCCUGCUUUUGUGGGGUGCUCGAGUGGCGAACGGGUGAGUAACACGUGAGUAACCUGCCCUUGACUUUGGGAUAACUUCAGGAAACUGGGGCUAAUACCGGAUAGGAGCUCCUGCUGCACGGGGGGGGUUGGAAAGUUUCGGCGGUUGGGGAUGGACUCGCGGCUUAUCAGCUUGUUGGUGGGGUAGUGGCUUACCAAGGCUUUGACGGGUAGCCGGCCUGAGAGGGUGACCGGCCACAUUGGGACUGAGAUACGGCCCAGACUCCUACGGGAGGCAGUAGUGGGGAAUAUUGCACAAUGGGCGGAAGCCUGAUGCAGCAACGCCGCGUGCGGGAUGACGGCCUUCGGGUUGUAAACCGCUUUCGCCUGUGACGAAGCGUGAGUGACGGUAAUGGGUAAAGAAGCACCGGCUAACUACGUG
rnacentral:rRNA from 1 species